rnacentral:rRNA from 1 species
UACGUAGGGGGCAAGCGUUGUCCGGAAUUAUUGGGCGUAAAGCGCGUGUAGGCGGCCAGAUAAGUCCGCUGUGAAAUCUCGAGGCUCAACUUCGAGCUGUCGGUGGAAACUGUCUGGCUAGAGUCCGGAAGAGGAGAAUGGAAUUCCUGGUGUAGCGGUGAAAUGCGCAGAUAUCAGGAAGAACACCCGUGGCGAAGGUGGUUCUCUGGGACGGUACUGACGCUGAGACGCGAAAGCGUGGGGAGCGAACAGG